UACGAAGGGGGCUAGCGUUGCUCGGAAUCACUGGGCGUAAAGCGCACGUAGGCGGCUUUUUAAGUCAGGGGUGAAAUCCUGGAGCUCAACUCCAGAACUGCCUUUGAUACUGAGAGGCUCGAGUCCGGGAGAGGUGAGUGGAACUGCGAGUGUAGAGGUGAAAUUCGUAGAUAUUCGCAAGAACACCAGUGGCGAAGGCGGCUCACUGGACCAUAACUGACGCUGAGGCGCGAAAGCUAGGGGAGCAAACAGG
rnacentral:rRNA from 1 species